GGUUCUUGGAAGGCGGUGCUCUGAGAAGCCGGACAACGCGGCAGCCGCUCUUCAAAGCGGAGCCGGGAGUUUUUGCUACAGUUGUCGCCACCAUGAGUCGCAGCUAUAAUGAUGAGCUGCAGUUCUUGGAGAAGAUCAAUAAAAACUGCUGGAGGAUCAAGAAGGGCUUCGUGCCCAACAUGCAGGUUGAAGGUGUUUUCUAUGUGAAUGAUGCUCUGGAGAAAUUGAUGUUUGAGGAAUUAAGGAAUGCCUGUCGAGGUGGUGGUGUUGGUGGCUUCCUGCCAGCCAUGAAACAGAUUGGCAAUGUGGCAGCCCUGCCUGGAAUUGUUCAUGUGAGUCAGAGUUCAGAACUUUAAUCAUUUAUAUUUCUUAAAGUCCAUUGAAUGGAUGAAUGGCCAUGCCUGAUAGUGGUGUCAUUUAGACAAUGACCUUUGGACAGCCAGACAUAACCAUGAAGGCAGGCUCAGUGGCUCAUGCCACCCGCAACACUUUGAGAGACCAAGAUGGAAGGAUUGCAUGAGCCCAGGAAUUCAAGACUAGUCUGGGCAACAUGGCAAGACCCUGUCUAUACCAAAAAAAUUAGUCAGGUGUGAUGUCACAUGCUUGUAGUCCCAGCUACUUAGAAUGC
rnacentral:sRNA from 1 species